AUUAUGCUACGGAUUUUUACAUAGAUAUCUGUUGGAACUUGAGCUGAUUCACGUAGUACGAGUCAUGUGAAAGCCGGAACCGUGGAAAGUGAACUAUGAGAGAAUUCCAUUCAAAUGCCACAUUUAUUGUAAAUUGCGAUGAACUUGUUGACAUUCUUACAAACAUCGUGGUCCUUUCUCUAUUUCGUUGGUGUCGGAGUCCGUUCGAACUAGUCGACUAAUGACGGAAGUUAUUUAUGUUACAAAGAUAAGAAGCCGAACGCGUCUUUAAAUGACAGAUUUAACGCCAGUAUUACUCAGUUCAUAGAUCACUCGCAAUAUUUAAUUGCAAUA
rnacentral:misc_RNA from 1 species